GCGGUCCCCAGGCCCCACCAGGGGGGAUGAGGGGUGGGGAGGGGGGGGGAGCUCUGUGCCCCCCGGCUCGACCGGGCCCGACGGGCAGAACCCCGGCGCCGUUCCGCACUCGCGGAAUCCCGCCGGGGCAGCAGCGGGACCCUCCGCGGCGGCGGGGUGAGGCAGAGCCCUGGCAGCCCCGGCCCGCUCCCGAGCUAAAAAAUGACCUUUCCCUGCAUAAUUUUGGAGGUAACCUAGCUGCGUAAUUAUAUUUGCACUUACAGAAGACUGCAUCAGAGUUCCCUUAUUGGUUUGAAAUUCCAUUAAAUAUAUUGCAAGAGCUCCUAGGUUAAGCUUGAUUUAAAUUUGCAUACAUUUUCAUAUAUUUAGCAGAAAUAAAAGAAGGCUUGCAGCUACCAGAAAGUCAUUAAGGCAUUAGUUUCUCUGAGAAGACAGAUCUGAAGAAAAUUCAAGAAAAUGAGAAAAUAGAUAUAAAUAAGGUGGAGCUGAAUACAAUGCCUGCAUUUGUGAUUACCUACAAGCAAUAUGUUAUGAAGGUGGUGGUAUUCAGACACAUACCCAAACAAUUUGAUUCAAAUAAAUUGGGUAGAAGACUGACCAGCAUGAGAAGAACAGGCAUUGUGGAGACAGGCAGCACCACAGACUGCUUGAGCAGCUCAGCAGGAGAAGAGCCAGCACUGCACCAACGAUGUGAGUGAGUGGGGAAAAAUAGUCCUAAUGUUGUGUUACUGCUGGUGGGUCAGGCACGCUGAGUAUGAAUUGAAGAAUAUAUAUUUGCAAACUGA